rnacentral:tRNA from 1 species
GGUAAGAUGGCCGAGGGAAUAGGCGGUGGAUUGUAGCUCCAAUUACAAAGGUUCAAGUCCUUUUCUCACCA